UUAAUAAAUAAAAUAAAUAAUAGUAAACCUAUUACAUUUUAACAUAAAUAUUAUUUCAUGAAAAAUAACUUAUUUUCUAAAACAAAAAAAUUAACAAGAACAAUAGCAUUGUCUUAUGUAAUUUUUUCUAUUAUCUCUUAUUCCUAGAAUAUACCUUUCUAGAUUACCUUGUGGUGAUGGUUUGCCUUAGCCUUUUAAUCUUUGUGCUUAUUUAAAGUUCUGUUAAGAUGUAGGUCAAAGAGUUAGGUUGAACUAUAAAAUGAGAUUAGAAUCUCUAUUGAAUCAUGAGUGUGGUCUUUCUGGAAAGAUAAUAUGGAUCAGGGAAGGGAGGAUGAUAUAGGUUUAAAAUAUGAGCGAGAUGCUAAAGAUUCAAGGAAAGUGGUGAUAGGCAGUCAGUAAAUAUAGUAGAAUUUUUAGUUGAGCUUCUAUAGAAUUAGUACGUUUCUUUUUAUUUCAUUUUUUUAGGCAAAUUUUCUAUUCUUUCUCCCUUCUUGCAAUUUAACUGUCCUCCCUUUUCCCUAAAUGAAUACAAUUCUAGUAAAUCUACUCCAAAAUAGAUUUUUGCUCUCCCCUUAAGGAUUCUUAGCGUAUAUUGUGACACGAAGGGUCAUAUCAAAUUUAAAAUUUUUGUUAAAACUUGUGGCAGUAUCUAAUGUGUCACAGUCUUCACAGUGAUAGCCUGUGUUGAGAUUUUUUUCCAGCUGAGUUUGUAAGCUUGCUCAGAUUCCAGAAAAGAUGGUGUCAUUUUAAGGUUAACCUCUUGUCACCUUCAUAGUCUUAGCUGUGACUUACCCUUUUCUCUGUCAAAAGAUGGAGUAAUCAAGGUCUUCACUAAUGUUGGCCUGAGAAAAGUGAUACUGAUUGAUUUCUGGUAGAAUACCUGAAUCACAUUCUGAAUAUGAAUAUAAUUUGUUGAUGUAAGAAGAGGAAGGAGAUAUGGGUUGGAAGGCAUAUCUCCUUCAAAGCAACAGAACCAUAGUGGGAAAAACAAGUCCACCAAAUGCCAAAUAAAACCCCAACAACCCCAAACUAAUUUUAGCUGUGGAAAGUGAAGAAUGGAAAACUAUGUGCCAGAAAGAUGGUCAGAAAUAGAAAAGAUUAAAACCGUUCAGUAUUGUUAGUCAAAAAAUGAGUUAGAAGAGGGCAUCUGGGUGGCUCAGUGUAUUGAUAGCCAGGCCUAGAGACAGGAGGUCCUAGGUUCAAAUCUGGCCUCAAACACUUCCUAGCUGUGUGACUUAACCCCCAUUGCCUAGCCCUUACCACUCUUCUGUCUUGGAGCCAAUACACAGUAUUGAUUCCAAGAUGGAAGGUAAGGGUUUAAAAAAAGAAAAAGAGAUAGAAACCAAUGACUGAUUUUUCGUUCCCCUUUGGAAGUAAGAGUUGUGAAACUCAACAAUCUGUAAUUGUGCUGAAUCUUGGUUUUUGUUUUUUAAAAUAGCACUUCUCUAUAGUGAGAAUGGAAAUACAGGUAUUCCUUCCACAUUCCCUAUCAAAAAUUUUAAUAUAUCUCAGGGUUGGCACAAAAUAUUAAAUGUGUUUUUUUUUUUGGAGUUUUGUGGAAGCCACAGAUGAGACACGAAUGCCAGCAGAUGACACAGAGACAGUUUAGAAAAUAUAUAGACUAUGACCAUAUACUUAACCUAAAUUUUACAAUAUGGUAUGUAAACACGCCAUAAAAAAAAAAGAAAAACUCAGACUAUCUUUGGUACAAAGGGAAGUUCCAAAAAUUUUAAGCUGAUUUUCCAGAUCACUGGGUAGGGGUGGUGAGAUGUGCAAGCAAUACCUGUAACUAUAUAGACAUGAAUUUUAGGGGAUGCAGUGUGAUUGAUUUUGAACUUUGGCUAUUUAUGGUCAUAAGAAGUCUCUCCCUCUUUCUGGCCCUCCAUUCUCCUUUCCUUCUUUCCCUCCUUGGGUGCAGGGGAAGAAAAUACCAGGGUUAGUGGGGAGGAAAGAAGGACUAAUGGAAAAUAGAAGAUACCAGAGCAAAAAAAAGAGUAAAAUGUGACAUUUCCUUUGACCCUGGUGAGAAAGUGGUCAUAAAAAGGAAAUAAAAUUCACUUCAGUGUAGAGACAAAGAACUCUUAGGAGACCCUGAAGACUAAAACCUAACCAGUAGUACCCCUAUAUCUGUCUCUAUCCUCUUCUCACCAUCCCCCCAGCCACCUUCCUCCUCCGUCCCCCUCAUCCCUGGUUCAGGCCCCCAUCUCAUCUUUACACUCUAUGACAUAUUCUCCUUUCCCAUUGAUGCCCAUCUCCAUUUGCUCUUUUUUCUACCCAGUCCAGAGAUGCUGAAUGAGUAACCCUGAAGCUUGUCAGAUAUUCCCCUGCUCUAGAAACUCCAGUGGCUCCCUUUCUGCCUCUAGGAUACAAUAAAAACUGUGACUUUUUAAAAGCUCCUUACAAUCAGCUCUGGCCUAACUCUCCAGGUUGGUUGCAUAUUUUCUUUCAUGUACUCUGUUCCAGCCAAACUUGCUCACUUUUCCAGGUAGGACAUUCCAUGGAUUCCAGAGUUCAAAUUUUGCCUCUUAACAUUUACUGAUUGUGCCUGGAUGAGUUGCUUAACAUCUCUGGUCUUUUAAUUUCUUUAUCUCUUAAUAUAAGAAGGUUGGACUAAAUCAUAAUUGUCAUCCGCCAGGCUGCUCAAACCAGAUUAAAAUGUAAUUGGUAAAUAUUUAACAGAAUUCCAUUUGGGAGAAUAUUAAAAACCUCUUUGUGAGUUGUACUGUGAAACUACUCUAGUCAAAAGUCCUCAUCAGACUUUUCCCUUUAGGAAAGUGUAUAAAAAGGUCAAGAACAAAUUGGAUUGGUUGGUUGGUAUUAAGGUUGGUAACUAAACUUAGAAUAAAUGGGGGGGGGGAAAGCCUUUUGUUGAGUUUAAGAUCUUUUAUUGCCUUCCCCAUUUUCCAGAAGGGAUGAAAGCUAUGACCAUCUAAGGCCCAUUUCUUCUUUUCCUAUUCUUAAAGGUCUGGGGUACUGAACUAAGAGGAAGAUAACUUUGAUUGCUCCAGAGGGAAAUGAUCAAAGAAGGAAUUGAGUAGUUUAUGAAAAGAUUAAGUGAUUAUUAUUCUGUGUAGAUGGCAUAGAAUAUUAAUCACCAAGCCAUAUUUUAUAUUGUAACCAUUUCCUUAUUUAAGAUUACUUCAGAUUAUGCAAUGGUAGAGAUGUUUGUUUGUUUUUUUUUAAACCCUUACCUUCCAUCUUGGAAUCAAUACUGUGUAUUGGUGCCAAGGCAGAAGAGUGGUAAGGGCUAGGCAAUGGGGGUCAAGUGACUUGCCCAGGGUCACACAGCUGGAAAGUGUCUGAGGCCAGAUUUGAACCUAGGACCUCCCGUCUCUAGACCUGACUCUCAAUACACUGAGCCACCCAGCUACCUCCCAUUGGUAGAGAUGUUUUGAGAGAAGGGGAGAACUGUCACUUUGGACAUUUCUCUCUAAACUAGAAAUCUAUGGAUUUAGAAUACUGCUAAAUUAAUAAAAAUGUUUCUGAUACACUUGUGACUGAGAGUGCCAAAUUAAUAUUUAUCAAAAUGUGAUACUCUACACAUUUGCCCUUGGCUCAGAGCAGUUAUUUAAUCAAUUAAUUAGUAAAUAUUUAGUAAGUCCCUACUAUAUACCAAGAAUUUCAGCAUUGCUUUUCUGGACAUCCAAAUGAAUGAGUUGUAAAGGAGUUCAGUUGUCCAAAGAUGAGGUUGGAUACACAGGUCUGUGUUUAAAUGUGAUCUCAGAUACUUCUUAGCUGUGUGACCAUGGACAAGUUACUUAAUCACGAUUGCCCCAGCCAUUACUGCUCUUCUGUCUUAAAAAGACAGAAAGUAGAGUUUGCCAAAUUGAAUUGGACCAAGAGGACAGUACAUUUGGCGAGAGGGAGACUGAGCCCCACUUCAGCAACCCAUGAUGACUUUGGGGUAUAAUAAUAAUGACUCAGACACCAGGAAGUAUUUCUAAUAUAUUGUAAUAACAAAUUUACACAUAAAUUUCAUGUUGUCUCCCUUUCUUCUCUUCUAGAGUUGACAAGCAAUUCAUUCUGGGCUAUUCAUAAAUUAUCUCUCAAAAGCUAUUUUCAUAUUAUUCAUUUUUUGUAAGUGAAUAAUCUUAUAAAAACAAAACCCAAAAUCAUGUACCCAAAUAAACAAGUGAUAAAUCCUAUGCUUUCAUCUGUAUUCUGAUUCCCAACAGUUCUUUCUCUGGAGGUGGAUAGUACUCUUUGUCCUAAGACCCUCAGAAAUGUCCUGGAUUAUUGUAUGGCUGAGAGAAGCGAAGACCAUCCCAUUUGAUCAUUUGAUCGGUCCACAAUAUUGCAGUUGUAUAAUGAUCUCCUGGUUCUGCUUAUUUCAUGAUGCAUCAGUUCAUGGAGGUCUUUCUGGCUCUUUCUGAAAUCCUCCUGUGCUUUGUUCCUUGCAGCACAAUAGCAUUCUGUCCCCAUCAUAUACCACAUUUUGUUCAGCCAUUCCCCUGCUGAAGGACAUCCCUUUAGUUUCCAGUUUUUGCCACCACAAAAAACACAGCUAUAAAUAUUUUUGUACCAAUAGGUCCUUUCCCAUAUUAGUCAUUAGCAAGUCAUUUAGGCUCUCUGAACCUUGGCUUUCUCACCUGUAAAAUGGGGUAACCAUAGUCCUUAUCCUCAGCUCUAAAUGCUUUAUUUAUCUCAAGGUUGAAGGAGAGAAAAGUAUAAAAUUUAGAGAAGACAUUGUAGCUCAGCCUAAUAUCUUGGGAGAUGAUACACACAUGCAGUAACCACAAUUUUGUUAGAGUAAACCAAUGCAGGAUGAUCAUGUUUAUAAUGAGAGAAUAUUAUUAGAAAAUAGGCAGAAACAGUGGGGAAGAGUGAAAAUUAUUAUUGAAAAAUCUGUACAUUCCCCCUUCCUUUUAAUAUUAUCCUUUAUUCAAAUUCAUGGCAAUAAUAUCUCAUUAACAUUCCUUAUCUAGAACACAACAUAGAGUCAAGAAAGAAAGAAAUAAA